rnacentral:rRNA from 1 species
CCUACGGGUGGCAGCAGUGAGGAAUAUUGGUCAAUGGGCGUAAGCCUGAACCAGCCAAGCCGCGUGAGGGAUGAAGGUUCUAUGGAUCGUAAACCUCUUUUAUAAGGGAGUAAAGAGCGGGACGUGUCCCGGCUUGUAUGUACAUUAUGAAUAAGGAUCGGCUAACUCCGUGCCAGCAGCCGCGGUAAUACGGAGGAUCCGAGCGUUAUCCGGAUUUAUUGGGUUUAAAGGGUGCGUAGGCGGCCUGUUAAGUCAGCGGUGAAAGACCGUGGCUCAACCAUGGAAGUGACGUUGAUACUGGGAAACUAGAGUGUAGUUGCGGCAGGCGGAAUGCGUGGUGUAGCGGUGAAAUGCUUAGAGAUCACGCAGAACACCGAUUGCGAAGGCAGCUUGCCAAGCCAUAACUGACGCUGAUGCACGAAAGCGUGGGUAUCAAACAGGAUUAGAUACCCGAGUAGUC